AAAAAAAAAAGAAAGAAAGAAAGAAAAAGAGAAAGAAACUAAGAAAAAGUCACGUCUUCUCUCAUGGGAUCUGAGAAGGCAGUCACAUCUGCUGGGUAGCGGGUGCAGGGCCCGGUCCGCGGCACUUGUUUAUUGUCGCGCCGCUGGUGCGAGCCAAGCUGCAGCAGACAUGAUGGCCCGGGGCGAAGCAGGAGCCCAGUGGCCGAAUCACUUUUUCUAAGUAUGUCGGAGUGAUUGAGCAGAGAGAAAAAUGAAUACCCUAAGCGAACUAGAAAUCUGGAAAGAACCGAAAUAGAGGCAGUGUCUCAUGACACUUUACUUGAGGACUCACCUGAUGAACUGCUGAUCAACUCUAUGCAGCUCUUAUUUGUGGAUUUUGUUUCUGGCUACCAAUAUCUACUGACAGAACAGCAACUAACAGGUUCUAGCAUCCAUUCUGCUGAAUAUCCAGAUUUUUCUUUCUAGGAUUCCUUCACCUAACCAGAACUGACUUCAUCAGAGAGUUAUGAUGGUUAACUCUAUCAGUCUUCUACCUGAAUGCCCCAAGAUAUUGAUGAAGUCAACAAAAACAUUGAGCCUCAGAACACAAGAAAUCUUGGACAAACUGGGAGACAGCUUGUCAGUAUCUAAGAAGUAUUGCAGAGACUCACUACAAAUUGGAUUGAAGCAUGAAAAUCAGCCAUUGAAAUGGAAGGCAGUCUAUUUACUAAUGCAAAUUUUAAAUAGGAAAAGAGCAGGUCUCAUGGUGAUAUCAACUUAACACUGCAGUAACAAGAUGCAAUAAGAGGAGACAUAAACUCUCACAUCAAGGCUUGAAGAAGUAACCCAGCAGAACUGCCUCUGAAUGCCACAAACUCUACUACAUGGAUUGUAUGAAUGGGACAGAUCUGAAACUGAACAAAACUGCUGGAAUUCAACUGAGCUGAACUGUACUCAACUGAACUGCAAGGAACUGAAGUGAACUCUCCCUUCGCUGCUCUUAGUGUGAAGAUAUCGUUCCAGUUAGAUUAUCACCAGAAAGUGAAAUGCCACUCAGUUUUGUUCAUAAAGGAAUAGGUGACCCUCACAGACAUACCUCUGAACACUAAGGUAUCCCCUUAUGUUGGGGCAAUUCCACAGUGACAGAAACUGAUACUAUCCCCUACAAAUAUGGAAGCAUGAGAGACUAUUUCACAAGAACCAUUCAACAGUCAACCAAGCAGAACUCUGGAGCUAGUAGGAAGAAUCAAGAAGGAGAAAGUGACCAUAAGUGAUGCUGUACUGCCACAA
rnacentral:lncRNA from 1 species